GACGAACGCUGGCGGCGUGCUUAACACAUGCAAGUCGAACGGAAAGGCCCUGCUUUUGUGGGGUGCUCGAGUGGCGAACGGGUGAGUAACACGUGAGUAACCUGCCCUUGACUUUGGGAUAACUUCAGGAAACUGGGGCUAAUACCGGAUAGGAGCUCCUGCUGCAUGGUGGGGGUCGGAAAGUUUCGGCGGUUGGGGAUGGACUCGCGGCUUAUCAGCUUGUUGGUGGGGUAGUGGCUUACCAAGGCUUUGACGGGUAGCCGGCCUGAGAGGGUGACCGGCCACAUUGGGACUGAGAUACGGCCCAGACUCCUACGGGAGGCAGCAGUGGGGAAUAUUGCACAAUGGGCGGAAGCCUGAUGCAGCAACGCCGCGUGCGGGAUGACGGCCUUCGGGUUGCAAACCGCUUUCGCCUGUGACGAAGCGUGAGUGACGGUAAUGGGUAAAGAAGCACCGGCUAACUACGUG
rnacentral:rRNA from 1 species